AGAGGAAGUAAAAGUCGUAACAAGGUUUCCGUAGGUGAACCUGCGGAAGGAUCAUUCACAAACGAGUGUUUUAUGGCACUCUUUAAAAAUCCAUAUCCACCUUGUGUGCAAUGUUUGUUGGGAAAGUCUUUUCUUUCCCUUCAUAAAUAUCAACCUAUAUCUUUAACAACAUUCGUCUGAUAACAUAUUAUGAAUAUACUUAAUUCAAAAUAUAACUUUCAACAACGGAUCUCUUGGCUCUCGCAUCGAUGAAGAACGCAGCGAAAUGCGAUACGUAAUGUGAAUUGCAGAAUUCAGUGAAUCAUCGAAUCUUUGAACGCAUAUUGCGCUCUUUGGUAUUCCGAAGAGCAUGCUUGUUUGAGUAUCAGUAAACACCUCAACCUCCUCUUGAUUUUUCAAAAGGAGGGUGGACUUGAGCUAUCCCAACGACCUUCACCGGUAGGCGGGCGGCUUGAAAUGCAGGUGCAGCUGGACUUUUAUCUGAGCUAAAAGCAUAUCUAUUUAGUCCUCGUCAAACAGGAUUAUUACUUUUGCUGCAGCUAACAUAAAGGAUAAUCGUCCUCUUUGCUGACUGAUGCAGGAUUUUACGACACUUUAUGUGUUGUUCAACUCGAUCUCAAAUCAAGUAAGACUACCCGCUGAACUUAAGCAUAUCAAU
rnacentral:rRNA from 1 species